AGGGGGCUAGCGUUGUUCGGAAUUACUGGGCGUAAAGCGCACGUAGGCGGGGAUUUAAGUCAGGGGUGAAAUCCCAGAGCUCAACUCUGGAACUGCCUUUGAUACUGGGUACCUAGAGUAUGGAAGAGGUGAGUGGAAUUCCGAGUGUAGAGGUGAAAUUCGUAGAUAUUCGGAGGAACACCAGUGGCGAAGGCGGCUCACUGGUCCAUUACUGACGCUGAGGUGCGAAAGCGUGGGGAGCAAACAGG
rnacentral:rRNA from 1 species